rnacentral:rRNA from 1 species
CGGAAAUCGGUCGUAGAGUAUAAAGGCAAAAGCGCGCUUGACUGCGAGACAGACACGUCGAGCAGGUACGAAAGUAGGUCUUAGUGAUCCGGUGGUUCUGUAUGGAAGGGCCAUCGCUCAACGGAUAAAAGGUACUCCGGGGAUAACAGGCUGAUACCGCCCAAGAGUUCAUAUCGACGGCGGUGUUUGGCACCUCGAUGUCGGCUCAUCACAUCCUGGGGCUGAAGCCGGUCCCAAGGGUAUGGCUGUUCGCCAUUUAAAGUGGUACGCGAGCUGGGUUUAGAACGUCGUGAGACAGUUCGGUCCCUAUCUGCCGUGGACGUUUGAGAUUUGAGAGGGGCUGCUCCUAGUACGAGAGGACCGGAGUGGACGAACCUCUGGUGUUCCGGUUGUCACGCCAGUGGCAUUGCCGGGUAGCUAUGUUCGGAAAAGAUAACCGCUG